GAAAUGCGAUAAGUAGUGUGAAUUGCAGAAUUCAGUGAAUCAUCGAAUCUUUGAACGCACAUUGCGCCCCUUGGUAUUCCAUGGGGCAUGCCUGUUCGAGCGUCAUCUACACCCUCAAGCUCUGCUUGGUGUUGGUCGUCUUUGUCCCGCCUCCGCGCGCGGACUCGCCCCAAAUUCAUUGGCAGCGGUCCUUGCCUCCUCUCGCGCAGCACAUUGCGCUUCUCGAGGUGUUGCGGCCCGCGUCCAGAAAGCAAUCGUUACCGUCUUUGACCUCGGAUCAGGUAGGGAUACCCGCUGAACUUAAGC
rnacentral:misc_RNA from 1 species